ACCGUGGAAAGGAAACACGCAAAACUUAUAAACCAAAUCUUCAUAAUUACUAAUAGGAUCAAUAAAAUAGUGAAUUUGCAUUAUACCAUGCAUGAAUACCAUUUAAAAUCCCAUAAACUUCAAAAUGUGGCACAUAAAGUUUAAAUGAUAGUGUAUCUAAGCAUUGAUUUAUUAUGCUUUCACGUGGGGCAAUAAAGCAGAAGCAAAAGAAUGGAACAUAAAUAACUGCAUAAACAUUUGGAUGCAUACGGCUUAAAAAUGCAGCAAUGGCAUUCGAUAAAUUCAAACGCAUUUGACACACCACCUCAGGCUGCACGUGUCGCCAUCAAUUUCCACCAAAACGCCUACCAUGUGCGAUGCCCCACAAUUACCUAAGCGCUUUUCCAUUACUUGGCAAUCAUGGAUCAUUCAUGGGAUUAAUUCCGCCAACCCAGCCACUUCAUCAUCACCACAGAAAUGUGGGGAAAAUUGUGGAAAUGUGAGAGUAAGACUAUCUCGAUAAUGAAGUCUACGGAAAUAGACAAAGAUUUAGGGGUUUCUUCCGCUCCCCAUUGGGAUAUUGACUUGCUGAUUAUUUUUAUUUGACCGGCCAGCGCUUCAAUUGAGACAUAAAACUAUGCCAACACACGAGCAUAAACAUUUAUACACACGAUUAGGAGUGCUGUUUGUUUUUAUGUUUGCUUUAGCGCUUCCGUUUGCGGCCAGCAAGAAAUUCCAGCACACAUUGCGUAUACGCGUUAAAUGGCCCAGAAUGAGAUACAAACAAACAGACGAGUGGCAGAGAAAAACAAAAGCAAAAGUUGGCGAAACGAAGGGAGCCCAAACAUUUUUGGCGCGAUUAAAGUGUGCACUUUUAGUUCAAUAAAACAUGGCCCAUAAAUCAAUGAAAAACUAAUCGGAAAAUCAAAAAGAAAACACUGGGGGAUUUGUUUGUCCGAAAUGAAAUUGGAUGAAAUCCCAUACUGCAGCAAAAAUGAUUGCCUUCUUUGUUGAACUUGUUGAAAUUCAAAUCAAAUUAAAAUGCAAAUCAAUUAAAUUAAAAGAACAACUUUAUAUCCAACUCCGCACCAUUUUGGAAAUUAAAUUUAUGCAAAUGCAACAGCAGUGGCUGUAGUAGAAAAAUAAAAAACAAAAUUCAGGCCAAGCCGCAAGCUUAAA